UGAAAGGCUAAUCAAGCUCGGAGAUAGCUGGUUCUCCUCGAAAGCUAUUUAGGUAGCGCCUCAUGUAUCACUCUGGGGGGUAGAGCACUGUUUCGGCUAGGGGGUCAUCCCGACUUACCAAACCGAUGCAAACUCCGAAUACCCAGAAGUGCCGAGCAUGGGAGACACACGGCGGGUGCUAACGUCCGUCGUGAAAAGGGAAACAACCCAGACCGUCAGCUAAGGUCCCAAAGUCCUGGUUAAGUGGUAAACGAUGUGGGAAGGCUUAGACAGCUAGGAGGUUGGCUUAGAAGCAGCCACCCUUUAAAGAAAGCGUAAUAGCUCACUAGUCGAGUCGGCCUGCGCGGAAGAUGUAACGGGGCUCAAACCAGGCACCGAAGCUACGGGUAUCACCUUUGGUGAUGCGGUAGAGGAGCGUUCUGUAAGCCUGUGAAGGUGAGUUGAGAAGCUUGCUGGAGGUAUCAGAAGUGCGAAUGCUGACAUGAGUAACGACAAUGCGAGUGAAAAACUCGCACGCCGAAAGACCAAGGGUUCCUGCGCAACGUUAAUCGACGCAGGGUGAGUCGGUCCCUAAGGCGAGGCUGAAAGGCGUAGUCGAUGGGAAACGGGUUAAUAUUCCCGUACUUCUAGUUACUGCGAUGGGGGGACGGAGAAGGCUAGGCCAGCUUGGCGUUGGUUGUCCAAGUUUAAGGUGGUAGGCUGACUGUUUAGGUAAAUCCGGACAGUUAAGGCCGAGAGCUGAUGACGAUCCUUCUUUUAGAAGGAGAAGUGGUUGAUGCCAUGCUUCCAGGAAAAGCCUCUAAGCUUCAGGUAACUAGGAACCGUACCCCAAACCGACACAGGUGGUCGGGUAGAGAAUACCAAGGCGCUUGAGAGAACUCGGGUGAAGGAACUAGGCAAAAUGGCACCGUAACUUCGGGAGAAGGUGCGCCGGUGAGGGUGAAGGGUUUACCCCGUAAGCUCAUGCCGGUCGAAGAUACCAGGCCGCUGCGACUGUUUAUUAAAAACACAGCACUCUGCAAACACGAAAGUGGACGUAUAGGGUGUGACGCCUGCCCGGUGCCGGAAGGUUAAUUGAUGGGGUUAGCGCAAGCGAAGCUCUUGAUCGAAGCCCCGGUAAACGGCGGCCGUAACUAUAACGGUCCUAAGGUAGCGAAAUUCCUUGUCGGGUAAGUUCCGACCUGCACGAAUGGCGUAACGAUGGCGGCGCUGUCUCCACCCGAGACUCAGUGAAAUUGAAAUCGCUGUGAAGAUGCAGUGUAUCCGCGGCUAGACGGAAAGACCCCGUGAACCUUUACUGUAGCUUUGCACUGGACUUUGAGCUUGCUUGUGUAGGAUAGGUGGGAGGCUUUGAAGCGUGGACGCCAGUCUGCGUGGAGCCAUCCUUGAAAUACCACCCUGGCAACCUUGAGGUUCUAACUCUGGUCCGUCAUCCGGAUCGAGGACAGUGUAUGGUGGGCAGUUUGACUGGGGCGGUCUCCUCCUAAAGAGUAACGGAGGAGUACGAAGGUGCGCUCAGACCGGUCGGAAAUCGGUCGUAGAGUAUAAAGGCAAAAGCGCGCUUGACUGCGAGACAGACACGUCGAGCAGGUACGAAAGUAGGUCUUAGUGAUCCGGUGGUUCUGUAUGGAAGGGCCAUCGCUCAACGGAUAAAAGGUACUCCGGGGAUAACAGGCUGAUACCGCCCAAGAGUUCAUAUCGACGGCGGUGUUUGGCACCUCGAUGUCGGCUCAUCACAUCCUGGGGCUGAAGCCGGUCCCAAGGGUAUGGCUGUUCGCCAUUUAAAGUGGUACGCGAGCUGGGUUUAGAACGUCGUGAGACAGUUCGGUCCCUAUCUGCCGUGGACGUUUGAGAUUUGAGAGGGGCUGCUCCUAGUACGAGAGGACCGGAGUGGACGAACCUCUGGUGUUCCGGUUGUCACGCCAGUGGCAUUGCCGGGUAGCUAUGUUCGGAAGAGAUAACCGCUGAAAGCAUCUAAGCGGGAAACUUGCCUCAAGAUGAGAUCUCACUGGAGCCUUGA
rnacentral:rRNA from 1 species